GCAAAACCUGACGUGUGGAGGAGGAAACAAAAAGCAAGAGAUGAACGUGCUCUGGGCUCAGUUUCUGGAAGUUCUAAUUCUCAAUUUAUGCCUAUCUAGGACAUUCUUAAAUCUUUUACUCAGUGAAAGUACUCUUUCUUUCGCAUUCGGAAUACUAAAGAAAACGGAGAUUCUGAGUUAGGUGAGGACAUUCUUAAAUCUUUUACUCAGUGCAAGUGCUCUUUCGUUCGCAUUCGGAAUACUAAAGAAAACGGAGAUUCUGCGUUAGGUGAGAGAGAAUAUACAUUGAAACAAUGAACAAAAACUCGAGACAAAGAGGAAAUUCAUUGACUUUCUCAGCCCUUCAAAUUUUCUUUGCAGUCAUUUUGAUUUUCGUAUGUACAAUUCUACCUACUUGCACAGCAAAGCCUGGUUUAUGUUCUGAUGUGUGCAACAAAAUAUGCACGGGUGACUUUUGCGGCUCUAUAUGUGCCUUUUACUGCUAAUAAAAGGCUGCUGUAAUCAAAGCUAACAUUCUGCCAAGAAAAAGAAUGGAAUUUUUUUAUGAAAGCAUUUGGAAUUGUAUUCUCAGCCAAGCAUUUUUAACAUUAUACUUCUGAUAAGCAUUUUUACCAUGUAUUUCUUUCCGCAUCAACCAUGAAAAAUAUAACAUAAGCAUUUUAAUGUCGUCAUUUGUCACAUCAUCUUCAAUAAAAAG